GACGUACUGCGCGAACGUUAUUCGGAAUCACUGGGCUUAAAGGGUGCGCAGGCGGCUCGUCAAGUCCGUGGUGAAAGGCCCCGGCCCAACCGGGGACGGUCUUCGGGGACUGACGAGCUCGGGCGAGCUAGGGGUCUGUGGAAUUCCCGGUGUAGAGGUGAAAUUCGUAGAUAUCGGGAGGAACACCAGUGGCGAAGGCGGCGACCUGGACGGACAUUGACGCUGAGGAGCGAAAGCGUGGGGAGCAAACAGG
rnacentral:rRNA from 1 species